rnacentral:rRNA from 1 species
ACGCUCGACACCUACGGAGGCAGCAGUGAGGAAUAUUGGUCAAUGGGCGCUAGCCUGAACCAGCCAAGUAGCGUGAAGGAUGAAGGCUCUAUGGGUCGUAAACUUCUUUUAUAUAAGAAUAAAGUGCAGUAUGUAUACUGUUUUGAUGUAUUAUAUGAAUAAGGAUCGGCUAACUCCGUGCCCGCAGCCGCGGUAAUCUGAGCGGGCUGGCAAGGC